UGGGGAAUUUUGGACAAUGGGCGAAAGCCUGAUCCAGCAAUGCCGCGUGUGUGAAGAAGGCCUUCGGGUUGUAAAGCACUUUUGUCCGGAAAGAAAUCCUUGGCUCUAAUACAGUCGGGGGAUGACGGUACCGGAAGAAUAAGCACCGGCUAACUACGUGCCAGCAGCCGCGGUAAUACGUAGGGUGCAAGCGUUAAUCGGAAUUACUGGGCGUAAAGCGUGCGCAGGCGGUUUGCUAAGACCGAUGUGAAAUCCCCGGGCUCAACCUGGGAACUGCAUUGGCGACUGGCAGGCUAGAGUAUGGCAGAGGGGGGUAGAAUUCCACGUGUAGCAGUGAAAAUGCGUAGAGAUGUGGAGGAAUACCGAUGGCGAAGGCAGCCCCCUGGGCAAUACUGACGCUCAUGCACGAAAAGCGUGGGGAGCAAAACAGGAUUAGAUACCCUGGUAGUCCACGCCCUAAAACGAUGUCAACUAGUUGUUGGGGAUUCAUUUCCUUAGUAACGUAGCUAACGCGUGAAGUUGACCGCCUGGGGAGUACGGUCGCAAGAUUAAAAACUUAAAUGAAUUGACGGGGUCAUAGCUGUUUCCU
rnacentral:rRNA from 1 species